rnacentral:rRNA from 1 species
GAUGAACGCUGGCGGCGUGCCUAAUACAUGCAAGUCGAGCGAACAGACGAGGAGCUUGCUCCUCUGACGUUAGCGGCGGACGGGUGAGUAACACGUGGAUAACCUACCUAUAAGACUGGGAUAACUUCGUGAAACCGGAGCCAAUACCGGAUAAUAUAUUCAACCGGAUGGUUCAAUAGUUAAAGACGGUUUUGCUGUCACUUAUAGAUGGAUCCGCGCCGCAUUAGUGAGUUGGUAAGGUAACGGCUUACCAAGGCAACGAUGCGUAGCCGACCUGAGAGGGGGAUCGGCCAACCUGGAGCUGAGACACGGUCCGGACUCGUAAGGGAGGCAGGAGGAGGGAAUCUUGCGCAAGGGGCGAAAGCCGGACGGAGCAACGCCGCGUGAGUGAUGAAGGUCUUCGGAUCGUAAAACUCUGUUAUGAGGGAAGAACAAAUGUGUAAGUAACUAUGCACGUCUGGACGGUACCUAACAAGAAGACCACGGCUAACUACGU